GACGAACGCUGGCGGCGUGCUUAGCACGUGCAAGUCGAACGGAAAGGCCCUGCUUUUGUGGGGUGCUCGAGUGGCGAACGGGUGAGUAACACGUGAGUAACCUGCCCUUGACUUUGGGAUAACUUCAGGAAACUGGGGCUAAUACCGGAUAGGAGCUCCUGCUGCAUGGUGGGGGUUGGAAAGUUUCGGCGGUUGGGGAUGGACUCGCGGCUUAUCAGCUUGUUGGUGGGGUAGUGGCUUACCAAGGCUUUGACGGGUAGCCGGCCUGAGAGGGUGACCGGCCACAUUGGGACUGAGAUACGGCCCAGACUCCUACGGGAGGCGGCAGUGGGGAAUAUUGCACAAUGGGCGGAAGCCUGAUGCAGCAACGCCGCGUGCGGGAUGACGGCCUUCGGGUUGUAAACCGCUUUCGCCUGUGACGAAGCGUGAGUGACGGUAAUGGGUAAAGAAGCACCGGCUAACUACGUG
rnacentral:rRNA from 1 species